rnacentral:misc_RNA from 1 species
UCAAACUUGGUCAUUUAGAGGAAGUAAAAGUCGUAACAAGGUUUCCGUAGGUGAACCUGCGGAAGGAUCAUUACAAAAUAAUCCCGGUGCUUCGGCGCUGACUUAUUUACACCCUUUGCCUAUGUGUACCCCUAUCGCUUCCUCGGCAGGCUUGCCUGCCGCCAGGAACCAACCAAACCCUUUGCAUUAUAUACAAAAACUUCUGACAACAAACUAAAUAAUCAAAACUUUCAACAAUGGAUCUCUUGGUUCUGGCAUCGAUGAAGAACGCAGC